rnacentral:rRNA from 1 species
UCGACCUCAGGGUGGUAGGAUUACCCGCUGAACUUAAGCAUAUCAAUAAGCGGAGGAAAAGAAACCAACC